rnacentral:rRNA from 1 species
UAUCUCUGUAGAGUCUGCAUAUCAAUAAGCGGAGGAAAAGAAACUAACUAGGAUUCCCUCAGUAACGGCGAGUGAAGCGGGAAGAGCUCAAAUUUGAAAUCUUCAAGGUUCUACCUUGACGAAUUGUAGUUUAAAGAAGUGUUUUCUGUUGAAGUUUCGGUAAAAGUUCUUUGGAAUAGGACAUCAUAGAGGGUGCGAAUCCCGUAUUUGACCGUUAUUUUCAGCUGUGUGAUACACUUUCAAAGAGUCGGAUUGUUUGGGAAUGCAGUCCAAAAUGGGUGGUAAAUUUCAUCUAAAGCUAAAUACUGGCGAGAGACCGAUAGCGAACAAGUACCGUGAGGGAAAGAUGAAAAGAACUUUGAAAAGAGAGUUAAACAGUACGUGAAAUUGUCAAAAGGGAAGCGUUUGACACCAGUGUUGUUUUCUCGAAAAUCAAUUAAAAAUGGCAGGAUUUUGUGUUGUAUUGACUUUAUCAGCUUUCUGCACUUUUUUCUUGUCUUUUUUAAUGCACUUUUCGUUUAACAAGUCAACAUCAAUUUCUUUUGUUGUAAAAGAGUCAUUGGAAGGUGGCUUUCUUUUCGGAGAAAGUGUUUAUAGCCUUUGGCUUCUGCAAUCGGAGAGAUUGAGGUCUGCAGCGUAGAUCCUUCGGGGUUAGGAUACAUUUGUGCUAAGUUAUAGCCUUUCAUAGACAACUUGUUGACUAUGAUCAGUCAUGUAGCUUACUCGCUUAUGCUAUUUUACCUACGCUUAGGAUGUUGAUCUCUCACAGUCGAGC